rnacentral:rRNA from 1 species
UCAGGCCUAACACAUGCAAGUCGAGCGAGGACUUCGGUCCUAGCGGCGGACGGGUGAGUAACGCGUGGGAACGUGCCCUUUGCUUCGGAAUAGCCCUGGGAAACUGGGGGUAAUACCGGAUGAGCCCUACGGGGGAAAGAUUUAUCGGCGAAGGAUCGGCCCGCGUUGGAUUAGGUAGUUGGUGGGGUAAUGGCCUACCAAGCCGACGAUCCAUAGCUGGUUUGAGAGGAUGAUCAGCCACACUGGGACUGAGACACGGCCCAGACUCCUACGGGAGGCAGCAGUGGGGAAUCUUAGACAAUGGGGGAAACCCUGAUCUAGCCAUGCCGCGUGAGCGAUGAAGGCCUUAGGGUUGUAAAGCUCUUCAGCUGGAAGAUAAUGA